rnacentral:lncRNA from 1 species
CAGCUUUAGAAAUAUAUAUAUAUAUAUAGAUAUUGUUUUUUAAGUCCAAUUUCCAUGAAACUGCCGUGGGCUCUCCUCCAGUUUGUUGUAAGAUAUAAAUUCUUUAUGAAAAGAGAUGUGAUAUAUUUGGUGUAUUGUGAAUAUAUAGAUGAUAUUCACAAUAGAUCAAAUAUAUAGUGUAUUGAUGAAUACAGUUUCUAAAGGGAUUGAAGUUUCCCUUUUUCGUUUAAUCAUGGCUAGUGGAGAAAUCUCUCCAUGCUCGUUUCUACAUUUCUGUUCUCGUCAGGGUUGGGGUCAAUUCCAUUUAUAUUCCAGUCAUUUCAGGAAGUACACUGAAAUUCCAAUUCCAAUGAUCUUUAAUGCUUUUCAAUGAGGAACAUUUUACAUUGGAAUUUAAUAUACUUUCUGAAUUGAGUGGAAUUCAAAUGGAAUUGACCCCAACUCUGCUUCUAGUGCUUUCUUUUAUACUAUAGCCUGUAGCCAUAAUUGACUAUGGUAUUACUGUUAGUAUUCUUGGUGUUUUUAUUUCUACAUGAAUAUACUCACAGAGCAUCAAUCUAUUGGAUCUUAACUCUCGGUACUGUAUGGAUUAGUCUCUAGGAAGCCUGUCUAGUACAAUGUUAUUCUCACAAGCAUUUGCUUUUGUCACAGCGUUACUACGACUCACAGUACUUCCUCUUUGAGCUUGACUGUUGUUUUUAUUUGACACAAGCUUGAUUCACAGAGCUGUAGAACAUUGUUGUACAUAAGAAACAAACAGAUUAUUGUAGAAAGCUGUUAUAUGACCCAUAUAUCUACAGACAGUAACAGGCAGUGUGACUGUCAGUCUAAAAGCUGUAUUUGCUGUACAUAACCAUGCAAACAGAAAGUAUUGAAUGCUUUCCUUUCCAACUGUGUCCCCCCGCAGGGGAAACUGCUGGAGGAUGCACAGUAUCCAGCUAAACUUGAGCCAAAUGAAGGAUGUCUUUCAUGUAGCAAAAAAAUAUCUGAUCCGUUUUGAGCAUGACCACGGAGGUUCGAGAGAUUUUCUAUAAGUACGGAAUGCAUGUAAAUCCUUCUUUUGGAUAGUACCUAGACACUAGCCCUAGUACUCGUGCUGUUUUAAGUGUGUACGUCUCAUGUCGUAGACCAGUAUAAUGCACAAACAAUAGUAAGUGAAUAAGAAUACAUGGAGAUUUACAGACACACUCACUGUCGAGUGAAUCCCUCCACGGGUACUGAGCAGUACUUUUGUUAUGUGGCUUCAGGGACUUACUUUGCCAAUGCUUCUAUUCCUUUUCCAUAGCAUAGACUUUGUUUGUGUGAAUACACUUCAGCCAAAAUUUGAAGGUUGAUUCUUGACUUAAAGGGAAAAUCCACUCAAACUAUCUUUGGUAUUUUUUAGGACUGUAUCAACAGAAAAAAAUCGAAUCAAUUUUAUUGAAUGGAUUUUCCCUUUAAAGAAACAUCAUGUAAUGAAACUGAGGAUAUCGAGGAUUUAAAUUUGGUGACUUGAUUUAAAUGCUGCAUUUAGAUUCGUUGAGAAAGAGGGAACAUUUGUAGAAUGAUGGCCACUCCUUUUUGGGCAGUUCUAAACAUGAUAAUUUGCUCAAAGUGUGAUUCGCUCUUUUGGUAAUACAGAUUAAGUAUGAUGCGUAAAUAUUGCAAUUGAACAGUCAUGCAAUUGGAUUGGUUAAUUAGUUAUGGGAAAUUAGAUGGUACAAAUGUUGGUUGGAGACAAAAAAUUAUGUUAAGGAUAAAUACAUUGGUACUGUUUAAUGGUGCUUUGCACAGUUCUUGGCCAAAAGACUAGACAAGAAUUAAACUCAGAGUGACAUUAGUUGGGUGCCUUGAGAGGGAUAUAAAAGAGUAUGAAUCACAAAGUUAAGAAGUGCCUUCUCUGUCUGUGUUACUUAGCUCUUGUCUUUUUGUCAGAAGAGCUUCUCUCCUGUAGACAGAGCCACAGUGUACUGUAGUCUUUGUUUAAAAAGCAUUUGCCAAUGUCAUAGCCUGACGACCCGCACUAAAUUCUUCCGCUUCCCUGUCGUUCGCUACAUACUUUAGUCCGAGACUACCAUCAUUGAAGUCAUUUGUGGUGAGGAGGGGCGUUGUGCAAAAUAAAGUAAUCAGCGAUUGGAUUGUCUCUAACCAAUUAGUGUCAAAGCCAAUGACGAAUUUUCAAACCGCCGCUUUACCCACUUGUGUUCUGGCUCUGGCCCAACCCAUCGGUUUCUGGACCAAUCAGGUGGCCCCGAAUAUAUUUGCAUUCGGUGACGGGUCGGGGAGGUAUUGCGUAAGAAACUAACGUCCGGGGGUGUGGCAUAGCGUUUGGCUGGAGCAAGGAGUCUGAGUAGCCAGGCAACUAAUGUCACCCUCGAAGAGAACUGGCAAAUGAGCAUAGUUAUCGUCUUUCCUUUAGUGUGUGUGUGUGUGUGUGUGUGUGUGUGUGUGUGUGUGUGUGUGUGUGUGUGUGUGUGUGGUGCGAGUUAUGGGUUGUUUGUUAAGUUAUGCUUCUCUUUUGUUCUUUUUUGUGGCUAUUGCUUGGUCCUCUUCAGUGAGCGAGGCAGUUUCCUUUGGGGUUUGUUGUAUAGUUUAUUGAAUCAAUACCCUGUGAAUUCAGAUCCAGUUUACCCAGCUACUGACGUAUUUAUUUACAGUCUGUCGGACCAUCAUUUUGUGAAUGUGCUUUUUCCUGUUCCACACUCCUUAAUUGAGUGUGUCUAGGUCUAAAAAAGUAUGAAUUAAUCCUAAACCAUGUCAGUGAAGCUCAGUAAGCCAUGAUAGUGUUUUUUUUAUUAAGCGUCCCCUGUCAGGGAUGUUUUAUCUGACUUUCUUUGUGAAUCAAAGUGAAAAAAACUUUGGUGUCCCCUUACACAAUACAUAGGGUGGAGGCAUGACAAACUUAGAAAUAGUAGCCUGUAUUCUGAACCUGUUUUGAAAUUGACAUUGAGGCAAGAGGGACUAAUGUCCAUUAUUGCUGUUUUUCAUGAUUCAAUUGUUUAACUGUAUAUACUAUAAAACUGUGUUCCGUGUCUGGUUUUGAUUGUGUCAGGCCUACCCAUUUCCCAUUUGAAAAUGGGUGACCCGUUUCAAACCAAAUGAAAGGGAAGCUAGCUCAUAUGCAAUCGGUAUAAUUGGUCGGUCCUCAGCUCUCUAAUGCUAUAUGAAUGUCAUGGAGUCACAUUAACGUCACUUGCAUUAACAUUAAUGUUAACAUUUGUGCAGUGAUCGUGUUUCAGUGGUUGUGCCCAAUGAGAUUGGUUUGCGGAAGAGGGAUCAGGGUGAGUUGACCAUUGUUGUGCUUUUUCUUGGAGCAGAAGUUGCUUUGAAUUGUCCUUUACCCUGUUAUCGUGAAACAGCAUGUGUCCGAGCACCCUCCAAAAUGAUCAGAUGAAUUACCCAUUAUUGCUUAUCUCUGCUCCAAAAUACCUGUAAUAAGGUAUCAUACUUCUACCAUAUCAUUUACUGAAUACAAGUAAUUAACAUUUAGUACGUUUGAUGAAUAUUUAGGUUUGAAGCAUAUUUGGAAGAAAUAUAUUGAAAUAUAUCUUGACAUAUUGUUUUGGGUUAUAUAUUCUGAUUUAAUUAUGCUGUAAACGGAUCAGAAACAGAAGCUAACUUAAUCAGAGCUUAUAUGGUAACACGUCUAUUGACGUGCCACAGCAGCAUUUCAUCAGUGGGCCAAGUGAUUUCUAGUUUCCAGAAACUGAGCUUUAUCAUAAUCAACAGCAAGCUUUCCUUCUUUUUUGAUUGUGGUUCUAUUGAUUUUAAUUGACCCAUAAUAAUUAUAAUGAAGAGGAGGCAGGCUCAUCUAUGUUUAAAAUGCAGCUCUCAAUCUAGUUGUCCAUGAUGAUAUCAUACUGAUUGGUCAACCUUGGCCCCAUUUAACCAACUCACACAUAUGUGUUUGUAUCAAGUCUGAGUCGAGAUUAUCAGUAGCCUUGACACCAGUGUCUUUCAGCAAAGCUCCAUUGUUGCUAUCCUACCAAGGGCGGUGACAACAGAGCUGAUCAACACUGGGACUAGCUGCUAUCUAGACUACAGCCUGUAUAUUUUUAAGAUCAUAAGAGAGUUUUUUUUAGCAGAAAAUAGUUUCCUGUACAGAUCUGCUUUGUCCAUAGGAUGGGGAAAGCACCUUUUUAUUUUCCUUUAUUUCAGAUCAUGGUGGCAAUUCUUUUUAUUUUGACAUGAACAUGUAUUCUCAGUUUGAGAUUCUGGUUGUGUUUUUUAUUUAGCAAAAGGAGGCAGUUUGAAAGUUUCACCAGGGGAGUGUUUGAGAUGGUAUGAAAAUAAUGUAUGAUUCGAAGAGCGGGGCAUUUAUUAAUCAUUGGAUAAAGUCCCCCCAAAUGCACUAGAAAACACAUACUUUAUACCAUCCAAACAUGUUGCCAACAACAAUAGUUAAGGUACAAAUGUAAAUGGUUCAGAAACACUCCUUCGGUGAAUAACAGACCUUUAUACAUGGAACAAUGAUGGCAUUAGAAAGUGUUCCUUUAAGGUGCCUGAGUUGGGUUUGUUUUUAAUUUGGCUUUUAAGCCAAUUGAUUUGUCUGUCCAAGUGUUUGUUUUGUUUGUUUUUGUUUGUUAAUGAUAACCGUACAGAAUCUAUCAAAUAAGCUAGCUUGAAUAUUUUCCUCCAUACAGAAAAGUACAAAUGUUUACGAUAUCUAAUUAACCAAAUAGCAAGUAUGCGUUUGAGAAUCAAUCUGUCUGUCACUAAAAAUGACUCUGAUAGAUUGAUUUGAUUUAUUUCUUUCCUCUGUCAUUUUAAACUUGAAGAUGUUAUGACUGCUUAUUCUUUUUGUUUAGAUGUUGUGGUUUUUUACUUGUCAAACAGUGCUCCCUCAAUAUGACAAAAUGAGAAUUGUUACCAUCGUCUGCUUAGAACAAAAUCGACAAUAUUUUUUUUUUAAAUGGCACCCAGGGCAGAAUGGUCCCUGGGUGGCUUAGAAUCAUUAAAGAGAGGCUGAACACGCUGAUUGGCAUGUGUUUUUCUGUUUCUCAUUAGAAAAAGUAGAUUUCAGUCUUGGAGGUGUGUUUCCUGACCGAUUCCUCAUUUGGUUAAUGAUGUUUGUCCCCCAUUAGACACUAGAAGCCUAUUUCCCUUCCUCAAAAUCCCAUAAUGAAUCUAGGAUAACUCAAGAAAUCUGUAAUUAAUUUAGACGUUUUCGCCGAGGAUGUUUUAGUUGCAAAAUUAGAAAUCUGACUAAGGUGUUUGGUGCAGUAUUUCUCAAGUAAAAAAAUCCGAGACGCAUUGUCUUAUGUUAAAAGUCUGAGCUGCUGAGCACGUCUGCCUUACUGUGUAUGCUAUUGGAUAGAGAGCAAUCACCGCAGCUGUUCAUCCCAUGUUAGUGGGUAAAUGGACAUUGUCCAAUCAAAACCCAACAUUAAUUAACCUGUUGUGACACACGUAUGUUCCAGACUCCGUUUUAGACCAGACUGACUUUAUGACAAAAAUUAUCCUAUUUACACUUUGUAGUAAAUUUUGACAUUAGAAUAAAUGUUUCUGACACAUAUCGAUGACACAUAGGCCGUUUUCCAACGGAUUGGUUGCAUUUUAAAGGCAGUCCUCUAAAUGAUGUUCCUUUACCUUCUGUACUGCUGACUACAUCCUCUUAGACUGAACCUUGUGUAUGCACAGCCAAACUUUAGACAAUCUUAACUUUGCGUUUUUGCACAUCGUGCAUUGAUGUCAAUGGGAGAUUAAAAAAAUAUAUAAUAAUACAUAUUUUUUGGAGUUAGUCGCAAGUCUCAAGUUAGGUUUUGGCUGUAGAUUAAACCAUAGAUGAUUUGGGAGGCUUUAGUUUUCAGACUGCUUUUCAAGAGUGAGAGAGAGGUUUAGCCAACUAGUACAUUUUAAUUUGGAAAUUGGGAAUGUGAAGAGGCAUGGGUUUCGAUUUUGCACUAAGAGGUCAUCCUCGUCUCACUAAGAUGGAGAAAUGCAGUACAUUUGUUGACUUGCUCUCUGUCAUUCAAAACAGACUCAAUUAAAAAUGAUGCUUUCAUUUACUUCUGUUAUCUAAUCUCUGCAACCCUUCAAUGUAGAUUUCAUCCUAGGUGGUGUUUGUGAUCAUGUGACAGUCGUAGAAUGCACGUCUGGUGCAGUACAUUUUGACAAGCCUUUCUUUGCUUUGGAGAAAUCAAAGUACAGUAUGAUAAUAUGAUUCUUAUUGUAGCGAGAUGUGGCAUCAUGUUUUUCCCUUUUUUCAAAACGGUAAAUGGACAUGAACCAGACUGUCUGAUAAAGCUACUCUACACCAAAGUGCAAUUGAACUCAGAGGGAGCACUGUUGGUGAACCAGUGGGAGUCUUCUCUCCUGGUUGUGGUGUGCACAAUCUUUAUGUAGGGAAGAUUAUUAUUCUUCUCAUCUUUUUCCAGUCUGUCUUAGAUAAUUCAGAUGCAACAUUUUUUCUUUUGUUUUCUGUGUACAGCUUGCUUCGGAGUUGUCUCAAACAGGUACUCUUACUUCUGUACGGUUCUUUCCUUAGGAUGAUGCAAUGAUUAAAAAAAUAAUAAUAAAAUAUGUAAGAAAAGAAAGAGGUCUCCAUGAGUAUUUUGUCAGUAAGUUUAACAUGUAGGCAUGAGUUCAGUCAAACCUGUGACGAGGAUAAAUGGGGAUAGAGCUGCAGCACAGGUAGCUGGUGGCACCUUAAUUCGGGAGGACGGUUUCCUAGUAAUGGCUGAAAUGGAAUGGUACUGACACAUCACACAUACACAAUUUCC